rnacentral:rRNA from 1 species
UCCGUAGGCGGGCGUCUAAGUCAGUGGUGAAAUCUUACAGCUCAACUGUAAAAUUGCCAUUGAUACUGGAUGUCUUGAAUUAGUGUGAAGUGGUUAGAAUGUGUAGUGAAGCGGUGAAAUGCAUAGAUAUUACACAGAAUACCAAUUGCGAAGGCAGAUCACUAACACUAAAUUGACGCUGAGGGACGAAAGCGUGGGGAGCGAACAGGAUUAGAUACCCUGGUAGUCC